UUUUCGCUUUAAUGUUAGCUCCUCAGGUGCAUAUUUACAAUGUAAAUAUGCACCUGAGGAGCUAACAUUGUAAAACAUUGUAAAUAUGCACCUGAGGAGCUAACAUUAAAGCGAAAACGUU